rnacentral:lncRNA from 1 species
UUCAUUUGCAGGAAUCCCUGGAGAGAUUUUCUACCCAGGACUUUUGUAAUUGAAUUCCCUAGUUUGGGGAUGCACCAGAGAAAAAUUGGUAAUUGAACAGUGCAUAUUCUGAUGAAGAAACUGAACCUCUAAAAAGAAAGCAAAGUGACCUGUUGGGAAUACAUUUUGGACAUGGCUAAUGUGGGGAUUUAUUCUGCCAGACUAUGCAAAUCCCAAAGUCCUAUAAGAUGCAAUAAUUUUCUAUUUCCUGGAAGGGCAUUGCUUUUGAUCAUUUUUUUAAUACCGAGAUAUUUAUUUUUGGGAGCACACCACAAUGGAAGGAAUGUAGGAUUAUUUUGAAGACCUAUUUUUGGCUCUGCUACUCAUCAUUACCUGGAUGACUUUUGGUAAGUGACUUCAAUUUCUUUGGUUCUUAGUUUCUUCAUUAGUACAAAGAGAUUCCCUGGAGAUGCUCUAAAGUAUCUUCUAGCACCAAAUACUUCAAUCCUAUGAAAACUUGAAAAGAAAGGUAUUUUAACAUUUUGUUGUCUUAUAGACAUUGGGUCCU